CUGUAACCCGCCGGUUAGGGUGAGCCCGAACGGCGAAGCGCAGGAGGAAGCCGGUGUGAGUCCGGCGCGGUCCCGCCACUGUGACCAGGUGCGAGAGCGCCCGGGAGUCAGGAACUCUGCUUCGGCUGUGACCCGUGA
rnacentral:ncRNA from 2 species